rnacentral:rRNA from 1 species
AGCGAACGCUGGCGGCAGGCCUAACACAUGCAAGCCGAACGAAGUCUUCGGACUUAGUGGCGGACGGGUGAGUAACACGUGGGAACGUGCCUUUAGGUUCGGAAUAACUCAGGGAAACUUGUGCUAAUACCGAAUGUGCCCUUCGGGGGAAAGAUUUAUCGCCUUUAGAGCGGCCCGCGUCUGAUUAGCUAGUUGGUGAGGUAAAGGCUCACCAAGGCGACGAUCAGUAGCUGGUCUGAGAGGAUGAUCAGCCACAUUGGGACUGAGACACGGCCCAAACUCCUACGGGAGGCAGCAGUGGGGAAUCUUGCGCAAUGGGCGAAAGCCUGACGCAGCCAUGCCGCGUGAAUGAUGAAGGUCUUAGGAUUGUAAAAUUCUUUCACCGGGGACGAUAAUGACGGUACCCGGAGAAGAGGCCCCGGCUAACUUCGUGCCAGCCGCCGCAGUAACAC